rnacentral:lncRNA from 1 species
CAUAAAAGCCAACACAUGACAAGGAAACUGGGAGAUUUGGGGUUUCAUUUUAAAAAAGAUGUGAUCAUGUCUGCACUCUAAGGAGAAGUAGCCAUGAGAAAGAGAAAGCAUAUACACACCAAAGCAGCAGGAGGAAAUUUGGGGAGAAGAGAAUAGAGGGUGAGAGGUAAAAAGGAGGUGAAGUUCUUGGGAUCAGAAAAGACGCUCUCACAGCUUCAGCUCACAGACAUUUACUGAGUGUUGGCAAUGCCCCAGUCCCUGUCGCCAACCCUAAAGAAAUGGGAUCAAGAAGACAGUCACAAUCCAUGUCCUCACAGAGCCCGGAAGAUCAGGAGAGAGCCAGACAUGAGUAAGUGAAUAUAAUAUCGUAAAUAGAGGUACCACCUUAGAAAGAGGUAGGGACGUGUCCUCCUCUAAGAUGAGGAAGAUAAGGAGGGAAGAGCAAGAUGUUAGGAAAUGUCUUAUCAUUUCGAAAACUAAAACAUAACAAUAUCUGCUAUGAAUGAAGGAAACCAAUUUAUAACGUGCCAAAGGAAGAGGACAAAUUUUAAGCUACAACUCCAAGGACAAAAUAUGAAUCAGUACAAGCAUCAGUGGACCAGUUGAAACAGGGGAGCAUAACGGUAUGAUUCCAGGAUCUCUGUGAAAUUACCUGGGAUGCUUCUUAAAGGUGCUUCCCGUGCAGGCCCUAUAGGGAGACCAACUAAAUCAGAGUACAUGUGCUGGGCCAAGGAACUACGUUUUCUUCUAUCAAGUUAUUUAAAGUUCCCGUUGUGGCUCAGUGGUUAACAAAUCCAACUAGGAACCAUGAGGUUGUGGGUUCAAUCCCUGUUCUCGUUCAGUGGGUUAAGGAUCUGGCGUUGCCAUGAGCUAUAGUGUAGGUCACAGACGUGGCUCGGAUCCCACGUUGCUGUGGCUCUGGCGUAGGCCGGUGGCUACAGCUCUGAUUAGACCCCUAGCCUGGGAACCUCCAUAUGCCGCAGGUACAGCCCUAAAAUGACAAAAGACAAAAAUAAAGAAAGAAAGAAAAAGUUGGCAAGAAAUAUUCUCUCAGAAACUAUUUUCAAAAUAACAUUGUUACAGAAAGUAAAUGGUCUGAUAAACAGGUGUAUAUAAGAUAUAGAUAUAUAGAUAUAUUCCUAUUAAAAUGUUUCAAAACUUUUAUAAAUCUGUUACUGUUGAAAGAGGAUAAUUUCAAGAUUUGAUAAAAUUAUUAAAUAAAAUUUGUAAAAAACAUUGAUUCAUUAAAUUGUUGACAAAAAUAUUUUCUUUUUUUAUUGUUGCACUCUAAAUUUUAACCACAGUAAAAAUUUCUCUGGAAUGUGCUAUAUAUUCAAGGUUUAUCAUCACCAUCCAAUCUAGAAUUCUUAAAAAUAACACCCGCAAAAGAAAUGUUCUUUACCAUUUGCCAGUAAGACAUAGGGCAAAAAAAAGUAUUUCUGCGCAGCAGAAUAAUAAAGAAAACCAUAUUCUAAUGUUUAAUUUAAAGUUAUAUCUUUUAUUAUGAAUCGUUGAAUAAGCACCUUUGCAUAUUAUUUAAUCUGUAAAGGACUAUAUUUUAAAUGAUAGAUUUUUCAAUAUCCUAAAUGCAUACUGGACUCUGGUCUCCCUAGGCACAAUUUAUGUUGGUUUUUUAAACUGCUUAUGGCUAAUCCAAAGCUGAGACACUUAAGCAUCCAAAAUAAAAAUUUUAAUCCUCAAGUUUCUCAAGAGAUAGAUGACAGCCACAGAGAAUUUUUUCCUCUCAAGCUGACUUUUUAUAGAUCAGCACUUCAUAAAUAAAAGAAACCUUAUAUAGCAGAUUUCAUCAUUUUUAUGUGAUAAUUUCAGUCAAACGAGUGAUUGUUUCGCAUUCAAUGUGUCUCCUUGUCAAUUCAUGCAGCAGACAUGAACCAUAAAGGCCGUAGAUGUUGUAAAAUUAACAGUAAGAGUUUAUACUUAGUGUUCCUUGCUCUGUGUCAGGCAUUGUCCUAAUUAAUCCUUGAUUCUGUACACAGCAGCAGGAAGGAUUCUACGACCACCCCAGUGGGAUCACGCCUCUGCUCAGUUCAGACCCUCCAGUCAGUUCCCAACUCACUCAGCCUGACAGCCAACAUCCUCUCUCUAGCCUAUAAGGCCCUGCACAAUUUGUACACAGAUGCUGUCCCUUACCGAAUUUCCUACUCUGCUCUCUCAGGGCACGAUGGCCUUCUUCCCAUUCUUCCAACAUGCCGGUCACAAUCUGCCUUAGGGUCUUCUCAGCGGCUGUCCCCUUUGCCUGGAAACCCUCGUACCCAGAUAUCUGCAGGGGUUCCCCUCCACUUCCUUCGCCUUCUCAGGAACACCUUCCCUGUUGGCCUUUUCUAAAUUCCCAUAACUCCCCUCAACUCUUCCUAUCACCCUGCCUGCUUCAUUCUUCUCUAGCAUUUUUUGCUAGCAUCCUUUACAUUGGUCUUAUACAUGUUUCAUUUUCUUUUAUUUUCUGUCUCCCACUAAAAUAGAAGUUCCACGAGGGCAGAGAUUUUGCAUGUUUUGUUCACUGCCGUGGCCCCAAGUGCCUCGAAAACUAGAUGGCGUAUAGUAAGUGCUCAAUAAAUGUUUAUUGAAUUAAUGAAAGAAAGAAUUAAAGCAUCUCACUUAUUUCUGAAGCAAAUAGAGGACACCCAGCUUGUGUAAUGGUAGAGAAAUUUAGGGUGUGGAAGCAUUUGAAAUUCCUGCCAUGCGACAGUGGGUAAAGAAUCCGAUUACAGCAGCUUGGGUUGCUGCAGAGGUGUGGGUUAGAUAUCUGGCCUGGUGCACUGAGUUAACAGAUCCAGCAUUUCUGCAGCUGUGGCAUAGAUCACAGCUGCGGCUUGGACUCAGUCCCUGGCCUGGGAUCUUCCUUGUGCCACAGGUAUAACCAUAAAAAGAAAAUAAUAAAUAAAGUAUGGAAGCACCAAACAAUAAUAGCAGAGAUUUGACAGAAGUCCCCUAUUAAAGAAGUCCCCUGCUAAAGUAAACCUUUUGGUAAGUUCUCCUUACCAAAGUGAGAACGAGGGGGAAAAGCAGUCUCUUUUCUGUCCCUCUGUUCAUGGCUCAUUUUUGGUGCUUAACAAAUACGAGUUUCAUACUUUUUGGUCCAAUACUCUAAAUCUUCUGGCUUUAUGACGGAGUUGCAUUUCUGCUCUUCACUAAUCUGUAACAUUUUAGUAUCGAAUCAAUCUCAAUUUGAUUUGUAUUUUCUGGUUUGAGCAAAUCUAGAUGGGAAUAUUUUAUCAACAUAAAAAGUAUGAAGUUGGAAAGCACAAGACACUGUAAUCGUGAGCAUAAAUCAGCACAAAGAGCAGCCUCAUUCUUGUGGCAUCUAAGUCAUGGCAGUGGCCCAGGAUCACAAAACUCUUCUGUAAGAAGCUGAUGAAUGUAGAAUGCUGGCAGUGGCAACUCACCCUCUGUGAGGGGUGGAGGAGCAUUUCUUAGGUCUUGUCAUCCACUGUCAAACCCCACCUGCCCCCACUUUGUUCUGCCGUGACUUUCCAUGUGCCCGUGCUGGCUCCACUCACCUUCACAGCCACCUGUUUAGGCUCAGCUGUGUUCUAUGGCUAGUGAUGGCCACAACUGGAGAAUUCCAGUCACUUGCCUGCCAAUGAUGGUGGAAAGUUUGGGGCUAUCAAGAAGUGGACUCUUAAUAAGUACACAUUAAAUACUCUUUAAAGAGUGUCCAGGCUGGUGUGCUGCCAGUGUUGUCACCAUGCUAGUUGAGCAUGGCACAGUGGAAAGUUCAUGGGCUUUGGGAUGGGACAGACCUGGGUUCAAAUUCCAACUAUUUUUAAAAUAGUUCCUAUUUACUAAGAACUUACUGCAUACCAGGCACUAAACUAAGCACUUUGCAUUUAUAAAUCAUCUGAUA